rnacentral:ncRNA from 2 species
ACCAUAUGUAGUGUUCGAGGUUCCGCUGCGCGCAAGCCGUGGCGGCUAAGAUGGGAAUUCGGUGCAAGGCCGAAACUGCCCCCGCAACUGUAAGCGGCGAGUUCUUGUUCGCGUGAUGCCACUGGGCCCAAAAGGCUCCGGGAAGGCCGGAUGAGUGCUGUGACCCGCCAGUCAGGAGACCUGCCCCGAGCGUAGUAACGUC